AUGAAGCUCCCAUGGCUAUGUGCGGGGGACUUCAAUGAAGUGUUAUAUGGGCAUGAAAAAAAGGGAGGACCGCCACACAGCCAAAAACAUAUGGAGAAGUUUAGGAUGGCGUUAUUUGAAUGUGGCCUACGUGAUCUAGGUUUUACCGGAGACAAAUUCACAUGGCGCAACAAUAGUCAUCAAGAGAGACUAGACCGAGCAGUGGGGUCCAGGAGUUGGUGUGCUCGCUUUCCUGCCCAUAGAGUGAUUAACGGAGACCCGAGACACUCAGAUCAUACACCAGUCACCAUUUUGAUUGAGGAGUCACAUAAAAUGCCUAGAAGUAUUAAUAGCAGAAAUGUUUUUAGGUUCGAAGCUAAGUGGCUGGAUGAGGAAGACUGUGAAGUCAUUGUUAAAAAUGCCUGGAAUGCUUCGAACAUGCAAAAUGCGGGUAAGGCCAGUGUAUCGCAAGGGCUCCAAUAUGUGGCCAGGGAGCUUAAAGAAUGGGAUGAAAAUUCGCUUGGGGACCUGCAUAAGAGAAUUAAAUUAGUGAAGCAGGAGCUAGAGGAAGUAAGAAGGGGCGAAAUAAAUCAGGAAAGAGUAAACCAAGAACAUUUCUUAAAAGAAAAUCUGAAUCGGUUGGAACAACAACAAGACACAACCUGGAAGCAAUGA
rnacentral:rRNA from 1 species